AUACGAACGAGACUCUUCCCUGCUAACCACGGUAAAAGUGCGAUGUCGUUCCUUUGGUUCGUAUCGUACUGGUCCAAAGUAGACGAUGUGAUUCUAUAUUGUUCCAACGAACGCUUUCGCGUGUUUGUUAACGCAGGCACGUGGUUGUGAUCUGGAGAGUCCAUCGAUCCUACGUAAUUACUUGAGACGGCGCUUCACGCGCGCUUAUUCGGUGCGUACUUUCUGUGUUGUCGGGGAGGUUGCGCACGCGUGCUUCUGUGCGCGUGUGUAUUCUUUCUCGGCGGGGAUGGUCCCCGAGUAACGUGCCGCGAGUUGUAUGCCUAUCUUGUAUAUUUGCGUAGGAAGUUUUCUUCUUAGAGGUAUUGACGACUCACGUUCAAAGUCGUAAGAGACAAAGAGCAAUAACAGGUGUGUGAUGCCCUUAGAUGUCCUGGGCCGCGCGCGAGCUACAAUGCCGGGUACAACGGGUAACGCAUCUUUCUCCGAAAGGAGUGGGUAACCCUUUGCACACCCUUUUUAUUUCGACGAUUCAAAAUAUUUUCUACAUAUUUUGUGUUUAUUGUCUGGCUCGCUUGGGCCUGGGGCUUGCAAUUCUUUCCCACUAACGAGGAAUGCCUUGUAGUGGCGGGUCACUGAGCUCGUGGCGACUCAGUCCCUGCCCUUUGUACACCCCGCCCGUCGCUACUACCGAUUGAGUGUACCAGUGAGAUUCUUGGACUGGCGAACCUCGUAGCUCUCUUCGGAGAGUGAAAGAGGCGUACGAUGGGAAGAGACUCGAACUGGUGCACUUAGAGGAAGUAAAA
rnacentral:rRNA from 1 species